CUGAAAUAUUAAUCCAUUUUUUCUCUCCAGGGCAUUAUAAUCAACAGAUCGAGUGGGACUUAAAAUGUAUGUGUGCCGAUUGCCACAGUACACAGCACAUCACACUGUGACUUAAAACAUACUCUGAAGAGAUCUCUCCUUUUCAUAUGUAAUAUGGAACUGGAAUGAGAAUUAGAGGCAGAAUGCUUAUCGAUCUUUCCCAAGAAGAUGGAAAAAAGAUGUCUGCUGCUACACCAUCAACUGUUUUAUUCUGCUACUCUGUCUUCUUGUUGGAUAAUAUUCACAAGGGGGUUCGUUAACCAUCCUGAGUUGUGCUUCAAGCUGUGCAAAUGUCUUCCUCCAACACCCUCAAGAGAGCUCAGCCAGGACUCCUCAGGACCAGUUAGAAGAAGAAGAGCUCAGUGAAGAAGCAUGUUUUAGAACCCUGGUGUGUAUAUGUGCUCCUGUGCCUAAGCUGCUUUUGUCUUCCUUCCUGAAGUAGAAAACUGUAAUUCCAGAGAACUACCAUAUGGUCAGCCUUGUUGACUCCACUGAGGAGCACAGAAUCCCUCAGAUAUUUCACUGCAUGCCUGGAAAUUAACCCAGCAGUGCUGAAUCAGAACAAACAAGGUAGGUCUGUUGAGAUGCAAACCUGGACAAAGAUCAGAGGAUAAUGUGUGCCAGAGUCCUCACCACAGUAAGCACACACAGAUGUGUGCAAAUGAAAACUAAUAGACAAGACUUAAAUGAGGACUAAUAUGGGCAUAUUUUGGAGAGAGUUGUACUCAAGUUAGGUAGUGAAUAAGAAAAUAGACAUUGGUUCUGAGGAUUGAAAGUCUAGGGAAAGGCUACCAGUAACAAACCAGUGCUACAGUCUAUUAAAGCAGAGGACAGAAGGAAGGAGAGCUGGAUCCUCUGACUGGUGAGGGAGCUCUCUGCCUAGGCUUCAGAUCUGCAUGUGUGUUUACAAUGCGACAGGAUGCCAACAACACAGCAGCACAUAUUUUAAAAGAAGCUUUUUGCAAGAAGUAAAGAAACUCUAGGCUACAGGGCCCUAAUGGGCUGGCUCCUAACAUAGCAAUCUGUCCAGCUAAACUGGAAAUAACUAUUUGGUGGAUCAUGCUCAAUAAAACAAAGACCAAGGAUGCA
rnacentral:lncRNA from 1 species